GGAAAUCUCACCAGGCCCGGACACUGGAAGGAUUGACAGAUUGAUAGCUCUUUCUUGAUUCAGUGGGUGGUGGUGCAUGGCCGUUCUUAGUUGGUUGAGUGAUUUGUCUUGUUAAUUCCGUUAACGAACGAGACCUUAACCUGCUAAAUAGUGACGCGGUUCAUCGAACCGUGGGCCACUUCUUAGAGGGACUAUCGGAUUCAAACCGAUGGAAGUGUGAGGCAAUAA
rnacentral:rRNA from 1 species